GAUGAACGCUGGCGGCGCGCCUAACACAUGCAAGUCGAACGGUUAAAGCACCUUCGGGUGUGUAUAAAGUGGCGAACGGCUGAGUAACACGUGGGCAACCUGCCCCUCGCACCGGGAUAGCCUCGGGAAACCGUGGUUAAUACCGGAUACCCCGGGGCGCCGCAUGGCGCCCCGGCUAAAGCCCCGACGGGAGGGGAUGGCUCCGCGGCCCAUCAGGUAGACGGCGGGGUGACGGCCCACCGUGCCGACAACGGGUAGCCGGGUUGAGAGACCGACCGGCCAGAUUGGGACUGAGACACGGCCCAG
rnacentral:rRNA from 1 species